GCCGGCGUGCGCCGCCUCUCAUGCGUUUGGACACGCCCUCGUGCGCUCCUAUUGGCUGCGCAUACCUGUAUGAGAGCGCGCUCCGGCGGCUGCGGGAACUUCAUCCGAACAAGCGUAAAUGACGAACACUCCAACUCAAACAAUCCAUGCAAAAAAUCCAGAAAGAUGCACUUGUUGGGGAAAUUAAAGGUGUGCUGAGACCAAAUGGACCUGUAGCUGUUUCUUGUCCCUGAUUACUCUUGAUCAACUUUUUGUUUUGGUAUGAUUUUGUUGAUAUGUCUUCCCUGUAAAUGUAUCACAUUUGAAAUACUCGUGCAUGUAAUGAUGUUCUGAAGCUGUCUCUCAGCAACCCUGUUCCGAUAGAACCGUUUCAGCUAUGUACACUGGAAAAAAAAAAUUCUUAAUUUUCGGUUGCACAUAAGUAAAAUGUGGUAAAGUGGCAUAACGUCCCCCUCUUUUUCUUGAAAAUGAUCAAAUAAUAUUUGUUAGUUGAACGCAUUUGAAUCAUGUGCCACUGAUGUGCAAGUUCGAGGACUUUUUUUUCAGUGUAGAGGAAGAGGAAAAAAAGUGUGCUACCUGACUCAGGGGAAAUGACAUCUUCAAGUCUGAGCAGUGGCGUGGACAGGCGGCAGGAAUGACGAGGAUCAGGAACACGGGGGAAACACUCGGAACGAGGAGAGACACGGGAGUCCAAAAGUGAAACAAGGAACAGUGUGGCUUACAUGAGGUAAGUGGGCCGUGGUACCGCUGGAAUAAGCUGCAGUACUUUGCCGUGGAUUUCCGGAAACAGGCAGGCUUAUACGUAGGUGGUGACGAGGGCUGAUUGGAGACAGGUGCGCAGAUUGAGGAAGGUGCUGAAAGAGAGAAGGGAGGGGAGAGAGAGAGGGCGAGAGGGCGCAAAGCACCCUCCAGGCUCCAAUAAUGGUACUGCAGAGCAGUUCAUGACAGUACCCCCAUCUCAACAGACGCCUCCCGGCCGGAGGUUUCAGGGCGCAGGUGGGGACAGGCUUAAGCAAAGAGACGUGGAAUGUGGGGUGAAUUUUUAAGGACUGCGGAAGUUCCAAUUGGACGGAAGUGGGAUUGAUGAUUUUGGUAAUGGGGAAAGGACCAAUGAAGUGGAAGGUCGUGGGAAGAAAUGCAGACAGAUUGGCCCACCUUGUAUUCGAACGUCGAGGUGCGAUGACGGUCCGCAAGCUCUUUAUUGCGUGCGGCGGACUGGAUCAACGCCACCCGGACAUCCUUCCACACCGCCUGGACUCGCUGGAGGUGAUCUUGAAUGGCGGGGACUGCCACUGCCUGCUCCUGUUCUUUGAAUAAUGGGGGUUAGUAACCGUAGCAAGCCAUGAACGGCGACAUACCGGUAGCGGAGCUGGUGAGGGAGUUGUGAGCGUCUUCGAUCCACGGGAGGAAUGUACUCCACGAGGAGGGGUUGCAUGCGGAAGGAAAGACUGAAAUUGAACCUGCUCAGGAAUAGUGCCCAGCAAGCUUGUCGGGGGUUGAGACGUUUCGCAGAACGGAGGUAAGCGAGGUUUUUGUGGUCGGUCCAAAUGAGAAAUGGCUGUUCAGUCCCCUCCAGCCAGUGCCUCCAUUCCUCCAGGGCCCAUAUCAUGGCCAGCAGCUCUCGGUUGCCGAUGUCAUAUUUCCUCUCCGCAGGGGAUAGGCGACGGGGGAAAAAGCACAGGGGUGUAGUUUCUCGGUCGGGGGGCCCCGCUGCGAGAGGACAGCUCCAGCUCCAGAGUCCGAGGCGUCAACCUCCACCACGAACUGGAGGGAGGCGCACAAUGAGAGCAUUGUUGAACAGGGAUUUGAGUUUACUGAAUGCUUGAGAGACUGCUGGGGUCCACUGAAAGGGGGAGCUGGUCGAUGUGAGGCUGGUGAGGGGGAUUGCGACCUUGCUGUAGUUGCGGAUAAAUUGACGGUAGAAGUUGGAAAAUCCGAGGAAGCGUUGCAGUUAUUUCCGGGUAAUGGGGAUGGGCCAGUCGGUGAUGGCUUGGAUCUUGGUGGGGUCCGAUUGUAGUUGUCGCAACGUCCUCUCGGAUACGGAUGAGAUGGUAGGCGUUUCGGAGGUCCAAUUUGGUGAAAAUCUGAGCUUCGCAGAGGGGUUCAAAGGACGGGUCAAUCGGGGGUAGCGGUGACUUGUUUUUUAUGGUUAUGUCGUUGAGUCCACGGUAGUCUAUGCAUGGGCGGAGAGUGGUGUCUUUUUUUUUCCACGAAGAAGAACCCGGCCCCGACCGGAGACGAGGAACUAGUGGGAUACUUGUUGCGUGAGGGAGUGUAGGGAUUCCAUUAUUUCUUGGAGAGUCUUUUCUUGUCUUCCUAUGUGGGCACCUUGGAUGGUGAGUGCGUUCUUAAGCGCCUCCGGGGUUGCUGGGUCCAUAAUGGCCGAAGUAUUCUGUCACGUAUGGAGAGGAGCUGGACCCAAGAGCAGGCGGAGGCAGACAGAUUAUAAUGAACAGUUCAUUUAGGAAAGGUAAUGGAGGUGGUCCUAGGUGGGUUGGCAGGCAGUGGCGCGGAAAGUUGGCAGGCAGUGGUGGGGACAUUGGGGGCAGGAAUGACGUGGAUCAGGAACACGGGGGAAACACUCGGAACAAGGAGAGACACGCGAGUCAAAAAGGGAAACAAGGAACAGUGUGGUUUACAGUGGUACUGCUGAACAAGGCAGGUUUAUACGCAGGUGGUGACGAGGGCGGACUGGAGACAGGUGCGCGGAUUCAGGAAGGUGCUGAAAGAGAGAGAGAGGGAGGGGAGAGAGAGAGAGAGGGCGAGAGGGUGCAAAGUGCCAUCGCGGCUCCAAAAACGGUACUGCAGGGCAGUUCAUGACAAUUGGCUGAUUUGAAAGUAAAGAAGUGGAGAAUUACAUCAGUUUACCACAUUUUAAUCACGUGCAACCGAAAACGAACUUUUUUUUUUUUUUAGUGUAGAGCUCAGAGCUAAGUUUAUUCUUGACCAGUUAUUAUAGCAGCUAGCAUGCACUCCUGCGCAAAAAGAAUUAGUAGUGCUUGCCAAAUGUAAUGUAAACUUUAUUAGCAGGGGGACUGUUUUUUUUAUUUUUAUGACCAAUUAAAUUUCAAAUUUCCGCACAUCUCCUGUUAUUUAGCGGCAGACAUUGUGUGAAGGAGACUUGAAAAGAACAAAAAGUGUGUAGCCUCAGGAUCAAGGUUGAACAUUAUCAACAUUAUCAUUAUCAACAGAAACUAAGGCACAUUUGUUUGCAUAUUAGUCUCACUUUGUUUUAUUAUUAUUAUUCCAGGUUUCCACCUUCAGUUGUGUAUAGGGAAAUGGACUUUUAAGACAUUACGUUAAUGCAAUACAAACUUAGCGGAGGAAACUUGCAUUUAUUUGGUGCUGUCCAAACAAUCACUACUCUAAAUACUUACAAAGAUUUACUUUUCAUAACGCCUUGAAACCAAAAUAUGCUGUAUUCUGUGGUUUUCUUGCUUGUGAUAUGAUCUGAGGUCACCAUGGCGACGAUGUAGGUACUAUUGUCUUUAUUACCAGUGUAAUACAGCAAUACACCCCACUGUAUCAUCGAAAUGAUUUAGAAAUGUUAUUUGACGCCAGAAGUCUUACUGUUGAUUCACAUAAAGAUGAAGAAAGACUCAUGGGAACCAGUCUAACAACUUUAUGCACUUGGUUUCUAUAAAUAUUGAUUUUAUAACAGCUCCCGUGUGCUCUUCGUAACAAUUGUUAAAAGCAGACCUCCAACGCCACAGAGACCAUCAAAACGUCAUUGCACGCUUCAAUUGUGGGGUUAGUGACUACUUCUUCUGGUGGCAAUAUGUGCACAGUAACCCCAGUGUACACUCUUAUCUUACUUUGCAUAUCUCUUUCGCUUCGAGACUUGUGAGUUGACUUCCUGGAAAAUUGCACGAGUGAAGUCAUUUGACUUGUGCUGACAAACUCCAACCAAUGAAAGCAUCCCACAUGAGGAGACAAUCUUGCCUGAGCUCUCGUGGAUUCCGGCUGUCGCACGUUCACUAAGGAGUGAAGUGAAUUUGCCCAUUCAUCCACGGACUGGGAGCCAGCUCUCGGGAAAGUGAUGUUACAAAUUUCCUUUCCAUCAUUUUAUCCUAAGCGUGAGGUUAUUACAGGACAGUCGAUGCGCACUCUUUAGAAAAGGGCCUUCUAUCGGACCUCACAAAAAACAAAUGUGAAUUUUAUAUUUGUGGCUGAUGCGGUUUCUACAAUUGCAGAGGUGCUCUAUGUACAGUAUGUGCCAGGUGUUCUACAAAUAUGGAACUGUGCACGUCUCUGUACCAGUUCCAUAUUUUCAACGUAUCUCCGCCAGACCCUCAAUGGCAUUUGCUUUCCCUUUUUCUUUCAGCCUUCUUUUGCAUCAGGGAAAACGUGUCGGAGCCUCUGCAGAAUGAAAAUAAAAAAAAAACACAACAGCUUUUCCUGCACCGUGCACAUGGCGCAUCCCAAAAACAGCGGCGGGCCGUGUAUUUGGUACCUGGGUCUUAAGUGUGGACCUGACCUCAUCUACCUCUUAACCGCUUUCACGUCGCAAUUAUAGAAACCAUCAACGCUAUACAAAAAUGCAACAUAACAGCACGCACCUGCGCCACGUACAUCAGCUCGAGCAGUUCAGAAUCAAUAUUUAUCGAAUGACAUGGCAAAAUUAUAAAAAAAGAAUGAAAAAAAAAUCAGUCGUACUCACCAGAGAGGCUGAUUAUUAAAUGUGUGCUGGCCCUCUGAGGCGAAUUUGAAAUCUCAUUAGUUUGAGAAGCAGUGCCCUUGCUAUUAAAGUUUGGCCAGCGCUACUGAUUCCGAAGGGAAGAUUAGAAUGACAUGGCAACGCAGAGGCUGAAAUCUCAUUGGUCAAAAAGAACAACAACAAAAAAUACAACAUAUGAAGUGUGUCAGUAAGAUUCCAAGAUUGGUGUCACCCAAGAUAUAUUUCAAAUCCAAAGUGCAAAGCAUCAAUUAGUAACCACGUAGGGCAAGCAUAGGCUAUGUAAACAUACUAUUUCAUCAACAACAAAAAAGACCCUUUCAAAAUUGGCUUGAUAGUCUGCGACACACGAACACGUACACUCCCCCACCACCACAUCCAGGGGAAAUGCUUGCAACUCAAAAUGUGCGUACUGCAGAGCACGGGCCUGCAAUGGCAAAUGCUCAUUCUGAUUCCAUUACAGAGAGGCUGACUGACAGUACGACCCCAUCAUUGCGAUGACUCAUCUGGUCCAAAAGAAGCUAUUUCAGUUCGGUGGAGCCUCUUCAAAAGAAAAACGACAUUUUCAAGCUUUGCAACUGUAUUGUUGCAGUGAAAGGAAUCAACUCCUUAAAACAUUGUCACUUACAAGCCUAAUGAAAGGAAGUGUGAAGAAUCGGUUUCUUGUUUCGGCUUGUGUGACAGCCGCCGUCUACGCUGGUCCACCUGACUUACGCGCGACAUUUGACUAACAAACGACAGCCAGCAGGGAUGCAAACAAGGUGGCUGAGACAUUCGUUCAACACUCUUGACAUAGCAGCUGACUUUGACAGGUCGCCAGAAAGCUAUGUGCGCGAGUCACAAACACACACGCAAAGUGACUGUUUGGAAAAAAGGAAACCCCAAAUAAACCGUGAUCCAAGGCUAUAAUUCCUUAUAUUCUUUAAUGACUUACUUUCCAGUGUGGUCCGUGCUGACUCAGAUUCACUUUAA